rnacentral:rRNA from 1 species
UACGUAGGGCGCAAGCGUUAAUCGGAAUUACUGGGCGUAAAGCGUGCGCAGGCGGUUUGUUAAGUCAGAUGUGAAAUCCCCGGGCUCAACCUGGGAAUGGCAUUUGAGACUGGCAGGCUAGAGUGUGUCAGAGGGGGGUAGAAUUCCACGUGUAGCAGUGAAAUGCGUAGAGAUGUGGAGGAACACCGAUGGCGAAGGCAGCCCCCUGGGAUAACACUGACGCUCAUGCACGAAAGCGUGGGGAGCAAACAGG